rnacentral:piRNA from 1 species
UGCUAAGAAGUGAGACAGGUCUAGAUGCU